rnacentral:rRNA from 1 species
AUGUUCUCUGCCAAGUCAGCCUAUGCGGCAAGGUUUGCUGGACGCGAGGUGUCUACUACAACCCAAUUCACGUGGAAGUCCAAGGCACCACUACGCUGUCGCUUCUUCCUCUGGCUCGCAAUGAAGAACCGUUGCUGCACAGCGGAUCGUCUAGCCCGACGCGGCUUACCACACCCGGAAGCCUGCCCGUUCUGCGACCAGCAAGAAGAGAGCUUGGAUCACAUCGAGCUAACGUGUGUCUUUGCGCGGACGAUCUGGAGGACGCUUUGCACUACGAUUGGCAAGCCAGCUUGGACUUCGGAGGGGCAUGAAACUUUGGUGGAGUGGUGC